CUAUCGCAUAUACCCAGAGAAUAGGAAAUGCAAGCUACAGCACUAUUUCCUGGAUACUUUGUCCUCCAUUUCAGAUGUGUGUCAAGCUCUCACGAGGCUCAGCGCUGCUUGUGUUACAGUUCACACAAGGUGGAGCACUGUGUACUGCCAGAAGCAUACAAGAGGGAGAGCUGUGUGAAAUAUUAUUUGCCAAUACUUAUAUAUUUUUGUAAACCUGCUGUGUUCAGUAAUAAAGUAAUGACAGGACUGAUUUUUCAACAUUUUA